rnacentral:rRNA from 1 species
UGGGGAAUAUUGCACAAUGGGCGCAAGCCUGAUGCAGCCAUGCCGCGUGUGUGAAGAAGGCCUUCGGGUUGUAAAGCACUUUCAGCGAGGAGGAAGGGUUCAGUGUUAAUAGCACUGUUCAUUGACGUUACUCGCAGAAGAAGCACCGGCUAACUCCGUGCCAGCAGCCGCGGUAAUACGGAGGGUGCAAGCGUUAAUCGGAAUUACUGGGCGUAAAGCGCACGCAGGCGGUUUGUUAAGUCAGAUGUGAAAUCCCCGCGCUUAACGUGGAACUGCAUUUGAAACUGGCAAGCUAGAGUCUUGUAGAGG